rnacentral:lncRNA from 1 species
AUGUGCUUCCGAAGUCUUGUACUGAAUUUUGACGGGAAUAACUUAGUCCAAAUUAGAGUCUAAAAGCCAUUUUAACUAAAUUUGAAGCCCAGAGAACGGUUAAUGUGAAAGGACGUGACAACAUCCCUCAGUGGACGUCACAUUUGGUGGUCAAUUCUGGGACCAGUCUCUUCAGGGUUGGAACAAGGAUGUACUGAAGACAUUAUCCCUGAGGAGAGACAGUGGUCCCACAGAAAGGGAGAGGCGGCAACAUCCCAGUAUGCAGAGGACACCCUGAAGAAGCCACAAUAAAAACAGGAGAAUCCGUUAGA